UACAGAGGUCUCAAGCGUUGUUCGGAUUCAUUGGGCGUAAAGGGUGCGUAGGUGGCUUGGUAAGUCGGAUGUGAAAUCCCGGGGCUCAACCCCGGAACUGCAUUCGAUACUGCCGUGCUUGAGGACUGGAGAGGAGACUGGAAUUUACGGUGUAGCGGUGAAAUGCGUAGAUAUCGUAAGGAAGACCAGUGGCGAAGGCGGGUCUCUGGACAGUUCCUGACGCUGAGGCACGAAGGCCAGGGGAGCAAACGGG
rnacentral:rRNA from 1 species